AACGUAGGAGACAAACGUUAUCCGGAGUUACUGGGCGUAAAGGGCGUGUAGGCGGUAUGUUAAGUCUGGCGUGAAAGCUCUCGGCUAAACCGGGAGAGGUCGUUGGAUACUGGCAAACUAGAGGAUGGUAGAGGCGUGUGGAAUUCCGGGUGUAGUGGCGAAAUGCGCAGAUAUCAGGAGGAACACCAGCGGCGAAGGCGCUGCUCUGGGCCGGUACUGACGCUGAGGAGCGAAAGCGUGGGGAUCAAACAGG
rnacentral:rRNA from 1 species